CGUAUUCAAGUCAUUUUAACUGGCUAGAUACUUGAUACUUUGGAUUAAUAUGUUCCUAUGCAUUUUUUGGUUAUUUUUUUUAGCUUUGUUAAUCGGUAGAUUGCUGAUGUGAGGAGUCAUUUUGAAUAUAAUGUUAGUGGGUAACUGAUAGGUAUCACUGUACUUGUAUGUCUUCUUGUUUGUCUUUUCGGAUGACUGAUGUGAAGGGGUGUCGUUUGUGAGGUCCUGCAUCAUUUUUUCACAGUGAAUCUUCUUCUGGUUUUAGAUUUCACAUAAUGGUUGAGAAUGAAUGUAGGAAUGUUAUAUUGUAAAAGAAAGAGUUUGGUCAAUUGUUAGACAAAAAGUACAUAUCUAUUUUUUCUACAGAGUUUGAAUUACGGGCGAGCUUCAGCUGUGUUUGACUUUCCAGAUGCUGCUAUAAUGAUGUAGUUGGCGAUGAGCAAGAAAGGAGCGGACAACACACCCUACGUCUCUGAAUUAGAUGGUAUAGAGGCUUAGGUUCGUAUUUGCAGAUUCUGCCAACUUCCAGUAAAGCUCCAGAACUUCUAGACUGUUCAAUCUAGUGGUAUCGCUUGGCAUCUGAAGAUGGAAAAAAGGACCUUAUUUCAGGUGCCACUAAACCAAUUUAUGCUCCUGAGCCCUCUGACGUUGGCCGAGUGCUUCAAGCCAAGGUCAUAUCAGAUGGAACAAGUAUCACAUUGACGACUUCUGGUCCCAUAGAUCCAGGAAGGUCGUGUUCUCCCGACAAUAACAUUGGAAGAUUCAUAUCGGAUGCAGGAUCUUCCCUUCCAAAGAUAUCCCCAUCGUCAUUUAAACGGUUGUAUGAAUGUGAUUAACUUUUAUAGUUAACUUUAGAGUUUUAAGAAAUAACUUGUAGUUGUA